CUACCCGAGCAGACGGAAAUAACUUGGGAAGGUCAGUUUUUGAUAUUGUGAGAAGAUCAAAAUCCGUUAUUGGGAUGAUCGGAUUAGUUGUUAAAAUAACAAAUUUCCAUAACAAAGAUUUGUUCGAAAAAUAACUAAAAUUGUUAUUGCUCUGUUAUUACAAUAACAUUCUAAUAACAUAGAAUCCAGAACAAUAGAAUAACAAGGUUAGUUAUUCUGAGCGAUGGAUGGGGUGCACCCAAAUAACAAAAAGUGUUAUUUAUAUGGAUUGAUUGCAUAACAAAAAGUGUUAUUAUUUUGUCACAUGGAAAGUUGCCUGAGCAGAAGUUUGUAACAGAAACAAAAACAGAAAAAAUAACUAAAAAUAUCAAAAUUGUAUCAAAAAUAGAUUGAAAUAUUUUUUUGCUGUAUCAAAAUCUGUUUUUAGAUAGCUGUGCAUUCGAAUUAUUUGAGGCUAGUAAACUUUGCUACAGCUCAAAGCUUUUUGAUCCCAAAAAAAUAGAUUCCAGUGCACCCCUCCUAAUUUUGAACCCAACUUCCCCCCCCCCCCACCACGCUUUCACUUUUUCAAAAAAAAAGCCCUUCAAAUAUAAUAACAAGUAUUUAAAUAGUUUAAAAUAAUUAUUUUGCAACAUUUUACAAACUUUCAAUGCCUGGGACAUUUUGGGGAGAAUUAAGAACAUAAUUAAGUCCAGUAAAGUUGUAUACGGAUAAAGCCAAAUAAAUUUAAAGAAAAGGGAAAAAGUCCUUUGUUUAUGUAUUGCUUGAUUAUUGUAACAAAAUGUUUCAAAAUGUUUCAAAAUGAUUACACUGACCUACAAAAAUUGACAAAAAUGACUGCGCAGCCUCAACUCGAACACACUUUGAAUUUUUUCAAAAAUAUUUAGACGGGACCGAAUAGUUUUUCUCAAAAGUUUGUAUGGAGAAUCAGGGCGGUUCGUCGCUGCUGAAUACAAGCAAAAAUUGCAUGCAAUAUGUGGGACUAGCGAACAGCAUUCUCCAUACAAAUUUUGAAGAAAAACCAUUCCGCCAUGUCUAAAUAUUUUUGAAAAAAUCAAAGUACACGUCUUUCUGAGCCUACGCAGAAAUUUUGUUGGUCGGUGUUACUAUCGCAUCUUUUAAAAGCUACAAUUUACUUUUAAAAAUUCAUCCAGCAUUUUUUUUUUUUUGCUAUGAUGAAUUUUCAACAUACAAUCAAUAGAAAAAAAGUGAUAGGUUCACCUCGAAUAAUUAUUUUAACUUACUUUGACCAUCUGGAAAUCCAUCUUUCAGGCUAAGGAUUGUGUUAGGUUUUUUUUAUCAGUCCAUUGGGCGCCAGUUUGAAUCCAGUGUGCGCAAAAAGUUUUCUCCAACAUAAAAUACCAGAUUGAUUUUUAGUUUCCAGUCCUGCGAAAAAGAGAAAAAUAAAAACACAAAGAAUCAAUUCUUCAAUGACAAUUUGACCGUAUAAAGUAUGGGAAAUGAGCCCAUUCUAAUAAAAUUUCUAAUCUGCAAUUGGUCAUCUAAUUACGGUUUAGUCAACAUUAGGUGCUCGAUGGAAAAACAUGUCUUUUGGCUAAUAAAUAUCUCAAUCCUGAAGGUUUGACUUGAGAGAUACAAUAAACCAUUUUUUUUUGCUUUUAAAUACCCUUGACUUUUUGCUUUUAAAUACCCUUGACUCGAGGCGGUUUCACAAAAACACCUAAAAAGCUUAAAAAAUUAAUCGAAAAAAAAAAUUGAUAUCGAAUAAUCGAAUCGAAAAACUGCUUUGUUUACAACUGGCGCUUAGGACCUUUUAAAACAAACCCGAGAUUUCCUCCUGGAGGGAGAUGAGGAGGAUAAGAACGAGGACAGUGAAGAAGAGAAAUUGAAAAAGAAGGAGAAAGUGGUGGAAUAGUUAAAUAUACUUAUCUAAUUAACCACGCCUGCUGAUAGAGGAACUUUCGUUGAGGAACAACAACAACUCGACAACUGACCAGGGUUUCAAACGGGAUGUUCACGAUCAGGUUGAAUCCAACAAAUUGUCGUCGGCACCGGCAGUCUGAACCGUCAGUCAGUCGGAUUUUUCCGGAAGAAUCUUCAGACAAAAACACGCCGAGUUCAGAACCCCAAAUCUGAGAAGAAACCUUUAUCAACAAACAGAAUGGCAUGUUUGUUUACAAAGACAAAAUUUCGUGGUUUUCCAGUUGAUUUGUUUAGAUUGAAAGGAAAGUUCCGGAAUGUGAACAAUCCCCUUUAAGCCUCACGUAAGAUUCAUAAGAUUAAAGAACCAGGCUCAUUUCAAAACAAACAAACUAAUCAACUAGAAUCCAACCAAUUUUGUCCUUUUACAAAAUCGGAUUGAUCAAGGAUCAACUUACCCGCUCGAAGGAUUCGCACACGGUGGAGGAACAAUCCCGGAAUCGGCUGCCACCUUCGUUGCAAAUUUCCUUCUCAGGAGGUUUUGAUCCAGCUGGGCGAGAAUCUGGUGCAUUUGUUUUCAGGUCAGGCGCCGCGAAAACAAUCAAACCUGGCCGAAGCUUGUUGCAUGAGCAGUAAACAUCAUUUUAUUUUUUUUUUACAUUAUUAAUCACUUUAAAAAAAACACACACACACACACACACACACGGGGAUUUGCCACAGACUUCCGCUAAAUCGAUUCCCGCCUCCUCCAGUGAAAGAUUCCUCUCGCACAGCCAAAAUAAUACACCUGAAUACGAUUUUUCAGGCUUCAAUUCCACCGCGGACAUAAACAAACACGACGGAACCGGAUUCAGGACACAGCUUUGUCUUCACUUCACUUUUUCCAGCAACGAUUGUAAACAAACAAACAAACGCGAAAAGUUGAACGCAAAGUUCGCGGCGACGACCGACAUAAACAAAAAGCCAGCUGCGAUUGUUGUUUUGACAUUUCCCAGAGCGAGCGCUCGCACACUCGUCGUGUCCGACGUCGCGCGGGGGGCAGAAAAAAAGAGAUCGCGGUAUUGCGCGUUGCACGAAAAACUUUACUGGCGGACGUUUUGAUAUAAUAAACAUUAUUUGCCACUUUUGUUCACACGAAUUCUAAUGUUUAUUUUUCUGUAGAAGAAUAACACUUUUACUAUUGUAUUCAAACCAACAAUUUGCCGGAUAGUUUUGUUUAUGGAGCCAAAAAGUUAAGUAAAAUUUAUUGCUUUUUGAAAAGAAUUGCAAAGGACAAUACCACCAUCAAGACACAGUACUGCCAUCUUCGGUCAAUAUUUGAUUGAGGUUUGUAUCUUGGCUUAAAGUGAUCGAUCAGUUCUGUUCAAAUAUGACGUGAGAUGUCAGUACCGUUUCGAACAGUCGAAGAUUUUCCAAAACAAAUGGUCAAAAUUGUCGUCGCUAUUUCAAGAAGGCCAAGCCGAUCGUCAAUUUUGGCAAAAAGGCGCCGCGGUGUAGCUACCGUUCAACGACGGAGGACGUCGCUUCCAGUGUUUGUCGAAGUUCCUGCGGAGUACUUGCAGCAUCUGGAUCAAACCGGCCAGUGAAUGAACAAGUACGAGCGCCCAGAGUUUACGAGCGUACGAGUUUGUGGCCACCGAGAACUACUGCCGGAACAAUACCCCGCCGAAGUCACCGGCGAUGGAAUUCGUGAUUAACGUGUCGUAGUCCGUCAUGCCCAUGCUGGACGGUUUACUUGUCGAUCCGGAAGAGUCCACCGACGUGAUCGACUGAUGCAGCAUGUUUGAAGACACGAGUGAAACCGGGACCAUCCGACUGCCGGCCUGGAAGCGCUCAAGGCGUCGGACUGCGCCGGCAGCUAUACGUGUACAACUCGUCCCUGCUAAUUGUGGAAGCGCCCGGCAAGCUGAAUGCUCGCGACAACCGCAAGCCGCUCGGCACGGACAAGGGGAAGACGGUGCUGAACGAGUGGAGAUCUAUCUUGUGGGAGAAAUAGUUGGUUUAAUUGAGUCCUUCCCCUUCAGCAGCGCCCCAGUCGCCACUGCGUGUACAACGAGCUCGGCUAGGAGUGUGUCGGUGCGGGCGUUACCGUGGUUCUGUUUAUCAUGAGCAACUUGUACAUCGAUUUGGCGACCAUCGGACAGGUGCCCGGAUGACCGGAGGUGAUAUCUACAAGUACAUUUUCUUCCAGAUAAGAAGCCUGAGUGUACUGGUUUAACUGAUCGCUUCAACCUUCUUUCUCGUAAGCCGAUAUCGCACGCAGCUGCUGGAGAACAACCUGAUAAAGGACACUCGCGUCUGAUCGCGUUCGAUACGGUGAUGCGCGUGCGUAUCUCCCUCGACAUCCGGCCGAAUUCUUUGGGCACUUCUUCAUGUGGCGAUCGAGACCAAGCACAACGAUAAGCUGACCGACAAGAACGUGUUCGCAAAGCGCGUGCUUUAGGGGGGCGUGAGCCGUUAAUGUUAGCCACUCGAUUUAUCUAAUGAUGUCAAUAAAGUUGACUUUGACACUAA